rnacentral:tmRNA from 1 species
UGACUUGCAUUUUACAGAAGAUUUUAUUAUAAUUGACGCGUCGUGAAAACGAAGACGGCACUGAUCGCGUCAUGCAAUAGAUCUUUUGGACCGGGGGGCGGCACCCCGCAGCUCCACCAAGAAAAUCACGGGGCUGAAACAGAUUCGACAGGGAUUGAAAGAUUGCGCUUGUGUCCCGGGAUGGUUCCCGAAAAAGACCGAAACAAACGAAUGCUAACAACAUUCCCGCGAACGACAAUGUUCGCCUUGCGAUGGCUGCCUAAGGGCAUUGGCGCGAAUGGCGUGAGCUUGACGCGCCGCUUGGCUGUCGCGGGGCCCGUCCGAGCCUGGCACCAGAAUCGGACAUAUU